UCAAGAAAAAUUAAAAACAAUAUUAUUUUUCUCCAUUCUUCUUCUAAACAAAAAAAGAGAAAUGAAUCAAAUUCUCAAAUUGAUUUUCUCUUCCCGUCAUCUUCUCCAACAAGGAAAUUGCAUACAAUUGAUCCCGUUGAACCUUAAACUGCUUUUGGAUUAGAAGUUGUUCUAUGUUGGGGUCAAAACAUAGAAACGAUCCCCAAACUAUGAAGAAACUACAUAAAAAUCUUGCUAAGAAGGACAAGAAACAAUAAAGUGGUCCUAAGAAAAGGGGAUCCAACAAUCCUUCAAGUAAAGCUCCCGCCAAGAGAAGAAGAAUUGCCGAAGAAAUUUGUAGAGAUGAGCUUCCUAAGGCGAGGUUGAAAAACUUGAUUUGCCGAGCACUAGUUUUGGAUCUGAUCACCAUGGUACAUCUUCGAUGCCAUCGUCAACUGAAAAUCAAGAUCAGAGAAGUUAUAGAGUGAAUUUACCCCAGUAUCUGCACCUCUGACAAAGACUAGAAAAGAUGUUCCUACAGGAAGAAGAUCAGAUUGUAAAAAACAAAUGCAGAUUCAAAAUACAAAAGAAAAACAGA